UGGGGAAUUUUGCGCAAUGGACGAAAGUCUGACGCAGCAACGCCGCGUGGGUGAUGAAGUCCCUUGGGAUGUAAAACCCUGUCAGCUGGGACGAAACGACCCGCAAGGGUCCUGACUGUACCAGCAGAGGAAGCCCCGGCUAACUCCGUGCCAGCAGCCGCGGUAAUACGGGGGGGGCAAGCGUUGUUCGGAAUUACUGGGCGUAAAGGGCGUGUAGGCGGCCUAGCAAGUCAGCUGUGAAAGCCCCAGGCUCAACCUGGGAAUUGCAUCUGAAACUGCCGGGCUAGAGUUCAGGAGAGGAGGGCGGAACUCCCAGUGUAGCGGUGAAAUGCGUAGAUAUUGGGAGGAACACCGGUGGCGAAGGCGGCUCUCUGGACUGAAACUGACGCUGAGGCGCGAAAGCCAGGGGAGCGAACGG
rnacentral:rRNA from 1 species